AAAAAUGUUAAUUUUAAUUAUAUGAACGAUUAUUAGAACUGGUAAUUAAUUAGUAAACAAUAAACUAAUAAAAAAUAUUAAUUUAUUUCAAAAAUGUGAUUAUUAAACAUUUUUCCUGAUAUUCGAGGCUGAAAGUGAAGCAUCAAGAAAGUGAAAAUAAGUUUAAGAAACUGUUGAGUGCUAUAAGGAGUCUUCCUGUUCGUGUGGGCCUUACCUGGGGGGUUAAGGACGAGUGCCAUAAGGUGUGUUGGGGCACGCGACUGGUGGGAGGGUCAGCACGCUCUACUGAUUCUAUAAACCACCCUCAACAUUUCAGAGCAUCCUCGUUGGUCUUCAACAGCGGUUCGUUUUGUGAGAAUCUCCCGGAAAAACUCACAUUUCCUUUCACUUUCAAUCCUAUACGAAAAUCACCCGAAAAAAAUGCUAAAAAUAACA